rnacentral:rRNA from 1 species
GUCUACGGCCAUGCUACCCCGAACAAGCCCGAUCCCAUUUGAUCUCAGAAGCUAAGCAGGGUCGGGCCUGGUUAGUACUUGGAUGGGAGACCACCUAGGAAGACCAGGUGCUAUAGGUG